rnacentral:lncRNA from 1 species
CCUGAAGAUAUUGAGCCGGAAUAACCGCCAUAAGAGAGGGGACCUAGUCACUGGUAGCGGACUGUUUUUUCAUGAAGUAAGACCGGCUACCAGGAAAAUACAUGCUUUACCUUACUACGGGAGAGAAAAUGUUUAAAAAAACUUUGCCACCAUAAUUGUCUUAUUCUCGCCGAUCCAAACGACCAACACGAUUUCCACCAAGUCUUCUUACGGGUACCAUUUGCACCCUCUAAGCUAUGGGUACCAUUUGUACCCCCUAACCCCAAGACAAACGAUGCCAGUUUUUUGAAAAAAGGUUUAGAUGAGGAAAGUGACAAAUUUCUUUUUCACUAACAAGCGACAAGAUAUUACAAAGAAUCAAACAGCAAUUUCCAAUCGUCGUUCUAUUUCAAAAGACAAAACUCUGGCAAAGCUUUUCUUGUACACAUCCUGCCUCACGACCCUGUCUAAACUUGUUGCGUUGCUGUACGUGUUAUGCGUGUGCACAAAGGCAGUAUAUAGAAUAUAUAUAGAACCAUGCAAUAAGGGAAAAAAAUAUGUGGGUUUCCGGUUUCUUAUAAAAACUUAGGUAGGGUAGGUCGGUUCUAACUUUUUUUUUAGUUUUCCGAACAAGCGGACGCCAUUUUGUUUAGUCAGUGCUUCCACAUCGAAAGAUAAAUUUCCCUAAUAUUGCCAAAAAAUUCAAUUUUCCACAAACUUUUUCCUCUAAGUGGAAACACUUACAAGCAUGAUCCAAUAAAUAAGUUUUAGGGUCGGGAUUUUUCGACGUCCAAAAGCUAGGUAGGGUCGGGAAACCGGAAACCCACAUAUUUUUUUGCCUAACCAUACACUCAAAUGUUCCCCUUUUUUUUUCAGAUCGGUUAUCAAAGUCAGAAGCUGACGAAUUUUGAAAGUACAGUUUUUGCAGAGAAAAUCAUCGUUAUAAACUUUCGUUCAAGCUAUCGAAGUCUACUGAACAGAAAAUAGAUCGAAUUUGUAAAUAUACUGAACAUUUAGACCGCCAGGAUUUAUGCCGGAUUUCAUUGUACCCAGAACAAAACAAACAAUGGCCUGGAUACAAGUAUCUACAGCCUGUUCGCAGGCAAACAAGAACAGUACCUGAAAAUAGACAUUUCUGUGACCUUUGUAUGUCCAUUAACUGAAUAUCCAUUAUUUAUCCAUCAUAGUUUCUUUGUAUCCAUUUAUUAUAGUCACAAAUAUCCACUGCUGACCAUGAACAUUUGAUCAAUCCUUUCAUUUCAUCCGAGAACUACUGUCUUUGGUGUAUUGUUGUAAUUUGAUAGAAAUAGAGGUAUUCCCCCCUGUAUUGCUCUUCAAGGCAUGUCAUCUUGGUAACAUGAUAUUUUAUAAAUCAAUAUUUCAUCAGCAUGUUCAGUAAUGAUCUGUAAAACAAAGCAAAAAAUAAUAAUUAAUUCAG